ACGGCGGUGUCAGGAGGCAAAGGGCUUUCAUUUGCUCCCGAGGCAGCAAUAACCAUCCAUGCCUCGGUCAUUUAACACGGUAACCCAGCGAAAUUGAUACUCAACUCUUCCCUGCCCGGGGUCCACCCGCGUAAAUCAUCACCUGAGGAAACAAAAGCCCUGCCUGAGCCACGUGUCUGGCCAGCAGGCAGGCAGAGAAAUGGAGCGAUGCUUGAACCUCAAGGCUGCAUGGAGGCCAGUGAGCUGCUUAGGAAGUCAGAGGGGACUUUUUAUCCUGCCCUAAAAAUACUUCUUCAAGGCUUAAUUAAAACACAGGCUUUGGAGCCACGGAGACAGCCUACCCACCUACCAGUCUAAAAAGGACAUACCAUCUCCAGGAGAGACCGGUGGUUCUAACCACAUCGAUGACCCGUCUACGAGCCCCACCUACACAUAGUGCACAGCUCAGGAACUGUGUAAAAGUGAAGAGCAAAUCUGACUCCAUAUUAGAUCUGCUUCUUUAACCUUUGUAUUUUAUUGCUUGUCAGUCACUAAAAGGAUGCUGCCUACAAGGUUAAGUUAUAUACAGUGGCCCAUCUCUGGGAACCCUGCCUCCCAUGUGAUGAGCAUUAAGCUAAAACACCUUUGUUUAGCUCCCAGGAAACAUCCUAACCAGACCUACCUAUGAAUGAAUGCAGGGAGGAAGAAAUGAACACAUCCCUUCCAGAGGCUGACCAGAACCAGGAAAUGUUUGACUUUACUCCCUCUCCUUUUAGUAUAAGGAAGCCUGAAUGCUAACUCAAGCAAGAUGGUUCUUGGGGACACCAAGCCACCGUCUUCUUGGUCUGCUGGCUUUCCAGAUAAAGUUGCUAUUCCUUGCCCCAACAACUCGUCUCUCAAUUUACUGGCCUGUCGUGCAGUGAGCAGUAUGAGCUUGGACUCGGUAACAAUUAGCAUGUAUGCAUUGUCCUGAGUUACUUUUUUUUCUACAGUUAUAUACAUAAAUCUCUGUUUCUUCAAUGAGACUAUACCUUCCUUAAAUACUGGGACCGUGUCUUACCUUGUUUUUGUUUUUUUUUAAAUCCACCAAGUAGAAUGAAUCUCAUUAUUUUGGU